rnacentral:lncRNA from 1 species
GCUAGAGAAUGUGGCCCAGGCCACUGUCCAUUCCCGUUACUCUCCCAGGCACAUCCACGGCACCAUCACAGCCAUGUGUGGAGGCCAGAGAAGGAAAUGAGAUGAGAGCUGGCCUUCAGACAGAUCAUGAGAGUCACCUCUCCUCUCUCAGGGCUCACCUCCAAAAAGAAGUUCAACUGAUGCCAUGAGCUGCAGUCAACCCAACAGAUAGCUCUCUCCGAAUCUUCUCCACAACUCUGCCAUAUUCCCACCUGUGUAUUUGGCUUCCUGCAGCAAAUACCACAACAAGCCAGGGCCUGUAGCCAGCAUGGUUUCCUGCAAGAACUGGAUGGCCCGAACGAUUCUGGAUGCAGAGUCUAGACAGGUCCAUCCAUGUUGCAGUAUAUAUCAAAAUUCUAUUUCCUUCUGUGACUCAAUGACAUUCAGCCAGGUAUACAUAUAGCAUCUUUAUCAUUUUUCUAGUGAUAGGCAGUUGGGUUUUUCCACCUUUGUGUCUUGUGAAUGCUGCUGUGGACACUGAUUUGCAACUGGCUGUCAGCUCUGGUGUUCCUGCCUCUCAUUCUUGGUUAUAUAUACCUGGGAGGGGAGUGGGUGGAUCGUUGUGUGUUUAAUGCUUCGGGGAGCCAGGCAGCCAUUUCUCCCAGCAGUUAUACCAGGCUACCUUCCCAGCAGCAGUGCUUAUUUAUCAUUUGUUAUUUUCCGGUUCCAUUUUUUUUUUUUAUUGCCUUCCUACUGGAUGCAAAGUGGUAGCUCCCUGUGCUUUUGAUAUGCAUUUCCCUUGUUCCCUGUGAAGCCAAGUGCUUUUUCACAUGUUGAUGGGUCAACUAUAUACUCUCUUUGGAAAAAAAUAACUACUCAAGUCCUUUGUUUUGCUUUUCCUUUCUUUUUAAGUUUUUCUGCUGUGUGUGUGUGAUACAAAAGUCAGAAAAGAACUCUUAGGAGAUUAGAUUGUCAGGCCUGUGUGCAGGCCUCUACUGACUGAGCUAUGUAGAUAACUCCUCCUCCUCCUCCUCCUCCUCCUCCUCCUCC